UGCCGGAUCGUCCAAUGGUAGGACUGCGGCCUUUGGAGCCGUCUAUCUAGGUUCGAAUCCUAGUCCGGCAGCCA
rnacentral:tRNA from 1 species